rnacentral:rRNA from 1 species
GAUGAACGCUGGCGGCGUGCCUAAUACAUGCAAGUCGAGCGAACGGACGAGAAGCUUGCUUUUCUGAUGUUAGCGGCGGACGGGUGAGUAACACGUGGAUAACCUACCUAUAAGACUGGGAUAACUUCGGGAAACCGGAGCUAAUACCGGAUAAUAUUUUGAACCGCAUGGUUCAAAAGUGAAAGACGGUCUUGCUGUCACUUAUAGAUGGAUCCGCGCUGCAUUAGCUAGUUGGUAAGGUAACGGCUUACCAAGGCAACGAUGCAUAGCCGACCUGAGAGGGUGAUCGGCCACACUGGAACUGAGACACGGUCCAGACUCCUACGGGAGGCAGCAGUAGGGAAUCUUCCGCAAUGGGCGAAAGCCUGACGGAGCAACGCCGCGUGAGUGAUGAAGGUCUUCGGAUCGUAAAACUCUGUUAUUAGGGAAGAACAUAUGUGUAAGUAACUGUGCACAUCUUUACGGUACCUAAUCAGAAAGCCACGGCUAACUACGUG